rnacentral:lncRNA from 1 species
GGGACCACGCCAAACCACCUUUUUAACCCCUUUUUUUUUAAAUCUGAAGGCGAAGCCUUUCUAAAACAAAAGAGAAUAAGCCUUGACCCCGUUGGUUCGAUUUCAACGCCGAAAAAAGGGCUGCCGACGACGAAACUGCAAGGUGGUUCAAGUGAACCUUUUCUUUUUUCUUUUUUUUUAUUUUUGUAUAUAAAAGAAUAAAUAGAAACCUAAAAAUAAGAUAAAACAGGAAUAAAAAAAUAAAAAUCACCUUUGAAGUUUUUUUUUAUUUUCUUAUUUUCGUAAAAAAGGGAAGAACAUUACAAGCAUCAGAUUAAGGCCUUUAUAGCCGAAAUACAAGAUUCAUUUUUUUGUUUUCUUUUCUAUUGUUUGGUUGUGCUUCUUUAUUUUUUCGAUGUCUUCUCUGCUUGCGUGUUGUUUGCUGUUUUGCAGGUGUCAGACAAGUGGAUGGCCGGUGAUAGGCGAGCCUCGAGUAGCGGUAGCGUGCGGCACAAGUAGUUUUGACAUGCGGCGUUGGAGGCUUAGGGAGCUAGGGUUUUUUGUUGUGUUUAAGUGUUGGGCUAAUUGGGCUAGGGUUAGUUUUGGGUUAUUGGGUUUUAAUUUGUAUUUGGGCUGCUAAUUUGGGCUUGUUUUAUUUAUUUGGUUUGUUUUAUUUUAGAAUUGGCCCAUGUGAAAAUUGGCCCAUUAUAGUCAAUAUUUUGUAUCAAUCGAUUUGGGCCGGCGCGUACUAAUUAUUAACCCAAAUGGAUUGAAAUACACUGAACUGGCCGAAGCACAUCGAAAUUUUAACUGGAACGGAACAUAGAUUAAUUGAUAUUGAUUUAAGACUGAAACGAUACAUACCGAUUACCAUGUUGCAACUUUAUAUUCUUAGCUCAUAUAUUAUUGAAUUAUCAGCAAGAAUUCCUCUAACUCUCUACCAUCUACCUUUAGUAAUUAUUUUUUAUUUGUAAAAUAAAGAUAUGUAUUAGAUAAAACAUGCGAAUGAUAGAAAUUUUUAACUUAGCAUAUGGACUCACGGCUUGAGUUUCAAAGAAUUUGAGAAACCCAAGGUUGUUUUCGCCUUCACGUAUAUAGCUUAAGUAGCCAUUAUUGUCGCUGGGUUUGAGGACGAUAAACUUGGGCAAGGUCAAUGCCAUUUGAAUGGAUGAUUCUCUUUGUUGUGUUUCACUUUCACUCUUGUGUCUUGCUUACAACAACGAGCUUGGCUACCUAUUUAUAUCUAUAAUAAAAGGCUAAUAUUGUCCAUCACAUGGAAAAUUUGUCAUCUCGAAGGAUGGAUGGAAAGUUUAACAGGACAAAAUUAGGUAGGUAUGGAAGAAAAUGAAAAAGUUUACUUAAUGAUUUAUUUAAAGUAAUUAGCUAUUACAGUGAUUUGUUGAUUGAUUUAGGAUUUUAAAAAUAGGGUGAAUUUUUUAAAAUAAAAAUAUUUAAAUAACUAUUUUAAUUGUAGUUUUGAAAUGAUUUUUUAUAAGUACAAUUUAUAUUUUGGAAUUACAAUCAGACUCAAUGCGUACAAUGUAUAAACAAAAUUACAAUUAUACCGGCAGGGUAAAUUGAGUUAGUGCAGAGGUGUCUAUUAUAUUAGAACGUGAAAAAUGAAAAUGGUUAUGAGGUUAUUGUAUUUGGAGGCCCCAAAAUUAGGUAGCACACCAGACAAAAACAGGUACGUAGUCAAGUGGUGUAAAAUAAAUACUAUUAAAUGUUUAAGCCAUAAAUGUUAACCCAUUUAAAACCCAAAAUAAAAUUGAUUGCUUCUAAAUUCUAAAUAUAAUUUUUAUUAUAUUUUUACAUAUUUUAUAAUUAAAUAAAAAAACUCUUAAGUCUAAUUUCAAUGUUAUUUUCUCACGAAUUCGUUGCUUAUUUAUUAUUAUUGUUAAAACUUUCAAGAAUUCAAGUGUUCAUCUCUUUUUUUGCUUAUUAUGUAUUGUUAAAAUUUUUAAACUUUUAGUUAUCAUUAUUCACAUUUCCAAGUUGGGUGUUUUUUUUUUUCUGUCAUUACACAUUAAGAGUUAUAAAAUACAAAUAAUUUAGCAUUUGAUUAUGUUCAGUGAAGAUGGAGAGUGAUUAAAUCAAGGUCUAAUUAGAUUUUUAAUAAACAUUUAUAAUUAUAUAUGUCAAAUAAAUAUAUUAAUUGUAAUUUUAUGUAUAAUUGAAAAGAAUUUUAAAUUUGUCAAAUUGUGUUUAAGAAACAUAAAAAAUUUUGUUUUUUUUUUGGAAGAAUUUAAUUAAAUAAUAUGAUAUUAAUCUAAAAUAUGGAACUCAGUUGGAUUUAAGCCAAAAUUAGGUAGGUAAGGAACAAAAUGAAAGUGAGUAAAAGUUUAUUUAAUGAUUUAUUUAAAGUAAUUAGCCAUUACAGUGAUGUGAUUUGUUGAUUGAUUUAAGAUUUUAUAAAUAGGGUGAAAAAUUUUAAAAUAAUUAUUUUAAUUGUGGUUUUGAAAUGAUUUUUUUAUAAGUACAAUUUGCAUUUUGGAAUUACAAUUAGACUUAAUGUGUACAAUGUACAAACAAAAUUACAAUUAACCAGCAGGAUAAAUUGAGUUGGUACAGAGGUGUCUAUUAUAAAAGAAUGUGAAAAAUGAAAAUUGUUAUCAGGUUGUUAUAGUAGGAGGCCCCAAAAUUAGGUAGCACACCAGACAAAAACAGGUAGUGAAGUGGUGUAACAUAAAUACUAUUAUAUAUAUACACACAUAGUUUUGUAGUUACUCACCUCUUGUCAAUUUCGCUGAUCUGACUAAAAUUAUCAUGCGAGUAGUGGACUUGGGUAAAAAACUCGAUAAUAUUGAAAAACUGAGUUAAAAUGAUCAUUUAAUUCGGUUCAAUUUUUUUUAUAGUUCGGUUGGAUUUCGAUUAGUAGCGUUAUUUAACUAUAUUAUUUUGAUUUAAUUUCAGUUUAUUUUAUUGGAUAUUGAAAAGUCGAAAAAAAUAAUACUUUUUUGAAUAUAUAAGCUAUAUUAACCCUUUUAAAACCCAAAACAAAAUUCAUUGCUUCUAAAUUUUAAAAAUAGUCUUUUAUUAUACUUUUAUAUAUUUUAUAAUUAAAUAAAAAAAACUUAAGUCUAAUUUCAAUGUCAUUCUCUCACAAAUUCAUUGCUUAUUAUGUAUUGUUAAAACUUUUAAAAUUUUGGCUAUCAUUUUUAACAUUUCCAAGUUGAGUGUUUUUUUUUUAUAUCAUUACAUAUUAAGAGUUAUAAAAUACAAAUAAUUUAACAUUUGAUUAUGUUCAGUGAAGAUGAAGAGUGAUUAAAUCAAUGUUUAAUUAGAUUUUUAAUAAACAUUUAUAAUUAUAUAUUUCAAAUAAAUAUAUUAAUUGCGAUUUUAUGUAUAAUUGAAAAGAUUUUUAAAAUUGUCAAAUUCUGUUUAAGAAAUAUAAAAAAGUUUGUUAUUUUUCAGAGGAAUUUAAUUAAAUAAUAUGAUAUUAAUCUAAAAUAUAGAACUUAGUUGGAUUUAAGCCAACUUGAUUCUUUAGCAUGAAAAUGGCAUUAGUUUAAAAUGAGCACAAUACGAAUGGUGUUAUAUGCUCUUCUUGUUUAGUAGGUUUUAGAGGUACAUUAAGGAAUAUUAAAAAAUGAACAUUUUUAAAUAUUUUUCCUUUUCUUUUUGAAAUUUUUAGAAUUAGAGCUAAAUUGUCAUAUUAUGUAAAUGUUGAGAGCUAAAUUUAUUGAUUUUUUAGAAUUCAAACUAAAAUGACAAAUUUUGUAAACAUUAAGGGUUAAAUUUGUUGAAUUUUUUAGAUUUAGAAUCAAACCGAUAUAAUGUAUAAAUAUUGAAAGGCUAAAUUUAUUAUUAAGCCAAUAUAAACGAGCCCAUGUCAACUUUCUGUCACUCAUCUAAAGGCAACUAAUAGGGCAGUGGCUAAAAUAUUUAAUUUUGAAAAAUUAAGUGACUAAAUCGAAAAAAUUAAUAGUUGAGUGACCAAAUUAGAAGCAAAGGCAUAAUUGGAUGACUAUUUUUUAUAGUUUUUGAUAAUUUUUCAAUUGAAUUGGAAAUUGAUUGAUGGAUAACACCAACUCAUUUAAGGGAAAGGAUUGUAUGAAACAGUGACGCCACAUCAUCUGUAUCAUUUUACCAAUAAUUUAAUACCACAUCAGCAUUUUUAUCUUGAACAAAAAAAAAUCAAAUCUAAAUGAAAAUCCUGAAAAUCAAGAUAAAUUUGCUGAUACGGCGUUAAACUAUUACAAAUUAGUAAUAAUAUCCAUAUUCAUACAAUCCUUUCUCAUCUAUCAAGAUAUAAUAGAUUCUUAACAAAAUCUUUCAUUAGUUAAAUUAAUAAACAAAACUAAGGAAUUUAGGAUGAUGUGAAAAACUGGGUUUGCUUCUUAAAUAACAUGUCAUGGCCUUGAAUUUAACAUACCAAGUAUCCAAUUUGAACUACUAAUAAAAUUACUUGAUAUGAUAAUCUAAUGCAUUUAUUGCAGAUUUUAAUGUAUUUAUUGUAACUUCUUUGUUUUUAUUCUAAUAUAGCUUGGAAAGAGUAUUUUUCAAGUAUGGAAAGGUAUUAAUUUGUUUCUUGCUUUAGCAAAGUUCGAGAAUCCUUUGACAUCAAGCUUCUCUUUAUAUAAACUAACACAAACGGCAAAUCAUAUAAGAAAAACCUAACUAAACCCCAUACCAAAUCUAGCUUAUUUGAGUUCAAUUUUGGGUCCUUUUUUGCUUUAGAAAUCAAUGACCAUGAUUCAAGGUCUUGUUUUAAGUUUGAUUAAAGACGAAUUGGGUUUGUCGGCAGCAAUAGAAGAUCUCCUAGAAGAAAAUAAACAUCAGGUUAACAAUCACAAGGGAAAUCAAGUAGACCGUGGCGAUGAAACCGAUGAAGGUGUUGAUUCAAGUAAGGUUGAAACGUUACAAAUAAGUCCGAUAUACUAUACACUGAGAGACCUAAUGGAUUUACAAGACGAAGAUAUCGAUGCAUUUUCUUUUCGAAGUGUCACCGUUGUCCACAAUGCCUCUUUCUCUAGAAUUGGCUACCUCCCUCCAACAAAUGAAGGUAUUGUCUCGUAAUUUUUUAUUUUUUAUUUUUUGCAAGCAAUUAGUAUCUCUUUUCGUUUACAUUAUUCUUAUCCCUAAAUUAUAUUUAAAAAUUAAAAAAAUUAGAAUAUGUAGCAAAAUUUGAACCUCGGUUUGUGAAGUUAAAUUUCAACCAAAAUGUACCAAAUAAUUAUUUUUAUUUAUACCCAAUUUUUAUUUAUAUGUUUCUACAAAUUUGUUGAAUACAAAUGAGAAAUUUAAAAAGAAAAAAUUGUAAGGGUUCUAUUUGAUUAAGGAGGUAAUAAGGUUGAUAAUUUAGUUAUUUUGUCACUUGAGCGGGCAGGUUAAUUUUGAAUUAGAUCAAUAUAGAUCUAAUUAAUUUGAGUUCUAAAAUUUUUGAGUCACUCGGGUUAUGUUAGAUUUGUAUCAUUCAAGUUUGUCAAUCGAAUUUUUAAGUUAACUUAUCUCAAGUUACUUACUUGAAUCAUUUCUGGUUAUACUCAUUUUUUGAGCUAUUGAGUAUAAAUUCGAAUUAAUCUGGUCUCAUUUUUGUAUUGGGCUCAAAAUUCAAUUUGUGUAACCAUAUAUUCCAUGCUCGAAUUUUUUUUUCUCAGAAAAACCAGAAGUAGAAGUGAACCUUAAUUUGGAGAAGGAAGACACUGAACUAGAGGCAUGCCUUUUAUUAAGCUUACCAGAACCAUCAUUCAGGACAUGGAUGGAACCAAGUGGUGAAGCAGACACCACCAUAACUCCUGGUCCUUCAGACAACAUGAUCACAAGACAUGAACCUCCCUCAGCAGGGUUUUCACUUCUGCUAUAUUUGUCUUGAUUCUCCUCCUUGCACUCUCGAUUAUCGUGUUUACUCAUUUUUUAGAAUGGUUAGGUAACGGGUUUUCUACACUAGAUGGAUCAUCGAAUUUAACAAUACCCAUUUUGAUGAGUCUUUCAAUUAUCUUUUUAAAAACGGUGCAGUUCUUGAUCGAGUAUCAUGUAAUUCUCGCGUGGUACUCACAUUGGGCGUUUGCAUCGUACCAUUUGGGGUAUGGGGGCUACAUAGGUUUUAGGUAGAAAGAAGAUACUACAUGUGCAUCAAACAAACUUUGGUACAACUCCCCAUACGUGAUUGGGAUAGGUGUGAACCGGAGUUUUUCUGAGUUUGGUCUUGGAUUGGGUUCUUGCCAUAGGGGGAUCUAAUGGCUAGUAGUUGUCGUCCUUGGCUGGCUUACGAUAAUCGAAUUUGAAUAGCCCUUGUUAUACAUAUCCGCAUUAUUCACCUUAUUUUCCCUCUUCCUCAGGGCCUUUAAAGUAUUGAUUUGGGAGCUCCACUCUCGCCUUUUUCGUUUGUAACAAUCUUCAAAUUGUUUUGGGAGCUCCACUCUCUCUUGUUUUGUUUCCACUAGAUCAUCCAAAUUAAGGACAACAGGAUUGGUUAGAUUAUCCCCUGGGUUAGAACCUGAACCUAUUAGGAAGUUCACCGGUGUCGAGGUACCGGUCUGGUAUUGGGGUCUGAUGUUAACAAACACCCUUUGUGGAUACGCGUUUGGUUGCGCUUGGGUGUUUGUUGGGGUAAAUCUUGGAGGAUAAGAAGGGUCCUCGUUAUCGUCCCCAGAAUUAACCAUAAGGCUCUUUCCUUUUUCUAACCCUUCAGCCAGCGACUAGGUUAACUGGCUCAUAAUAUUUCUUUGAAAUUCUAGCAUCUAACCCAUCAUAUCCUCUUGAAUUUUGGCUAAUUGCUCUUACAUCUAUAUUUGCAUUUGCUCUAAUCUCUUCAACCUUUGGUCCAUUUCUUUAGUUUUUCCUCGUGUAUCGAUAUUCUAGGAUAACUGCCAAGAUUUUAGCGUCCUUUUGUAAGAUUUAGUGCAUAUGAUGCAAUGUAAUGUUAAUGCAUGAAUGUAAUAAAUGUAAUGAAUGCUUACAUUCAUGCAAAAAAGAAUAGGAGUCGAUUCUGAUUCAAUUCUAUUAGAAUAACUUUUCUAGAAAACAAAUCAUUUUACAUAAAACGUAUAUUUAUACAGCCUUACCCUCAUACUCUAGGCGAAGACAUCGAUCCCUUUCUUCAUAUUCGGAUGUUAAGAUCAAAUCUCGCGAACUUUCCAAUGGAUGCCUCUACUAGCUUCUUUUUGCUCGAUCCAGGCUGCAACCCAUUGCUCACUCAUCCUCGUAAUACUCGUAACACUCGUAUCCAUAAAGCUCACUCACCCUUUGUGGAUAGCCGGGACAUUGACGGCUCUAGAAUAAUCUUUGUCAGCUUUAAUCUUCGGGAAACAAAGCAAAGUCAUGUACUCAAUCAUCAAACUAUCACCCUUCCCUCGUUACGUUUUCUCGGACCAUAUUUGGACGACCGCAUUGUCUUCCACUUUAUCAAGAAAUCCAUUUUCCAUGAGAAGCUAUCUAUUUAGCAACUGAAUGUGAAUCAACACAUCUUUUCUAUGAUGAAAAUGCAAUGCAAUCAUAACCAAAAGAAAAGAAAAACACGUUAGUACAAAAACAUAAAUAACAAAAAGAGCACUUAUUUGGAUGAGCACUAGGGGUUCUGUGUGGUUCUACCUAGGGUAGGCUUUUAGGGCUCACUAUAUGUGGUACGGUUCUAAAAUAAGGGUACCUAAACCGACAGAUUCCUCGAUCCUUACCCAUUACAGGCUCAUAUGGAUCGAGCUCAGUUCAAGGGAACAUAUUUCCCUAUGGCUACACGGAGAUGAAGAUCUCAUAAAGACAUAAGUACGGAUGUAUCCCGAAAGCGAUCCACUAUCCUACACGGAGGUGAAGACCUCACAAAGGAAUAGUUUCUCACUCUCACUUAAAAGGGUAAGAUCGACUGAUCAUGCGAUGCAAUGUGUAGAAAGAUACCAAAAGUUAAACCAACACAACAAUUAUAAACCACAAUGAUGAAUAUCGUAAUAAAGUCGGAUGAAAUGCAACGAAAGAAUCGUAUAUUUAAACCAAGUUUUCAAUUUUCGAUAAAAAGAUAAAAAGUAAUCAACUUGUGGCCUGACUCUCUUAUUUUGGAUCCCCAGUGGAGUCGCCAAGCUAUCGAAACUAUUUUUUUUGUAAAAAAGGGUUGACUUUUUUAUUUAAAAACGAAAAUAGAGUCGCCACCAAACCUUUUUAUUUAGGUUUGAUCGGAUCACCUCAUAAUUUAAUCAUUUUAAUAAAAGUUUAAAUUUACUAAAACGAUAAUUUUGUCUACAAAAUCCAGAAAACGGGUUCGGGAGUCGGUUAUGCACAAGGAAGAAUUAGCACCCUCAAUACGCCCAAAAUUGGUACCUAGUUGAUUAAUUAAUGUCUUAAUGUCGAAAAUUAAAAAUUCAAAAAGAAUUUAAAAUACGAUCCCUCUUUAUUAAUGUUAAAAUUUUUUUAAGAAAAAAGCUUGAAUAAAUUGAAACGAAUGUCAAAGACCCUCUCGUCUCGAGAUAACAAAUGUCACAUCCUGUAAGUUAGGACAUAGCAUUUUGAACCCUCGAGAACAAGCUAGCCUUUAGAAAAAAAUUUUAUUUAAAUUUCAUGUAUUUUAAUUUUAAAAGGAUAUUUGGCUAUUUCAGUUUAACGAGAAAAUCAAAACCCUGUAAGUUAGGGUACGAUUUCUCGAAUCUCCAAAACGCGAAAUAUUACCUAUUUUUAAAAGUUUUCUUUUUGAAUUAGAAAGAAAAUUAACGCAAUUUUGAAAAUGAUAUAGGAAUAAAAUGUCAGGCUAAUAAAUGACAAUAAUACGAAUACUAAUAAAACAAUUCAUAAUACAUAUAAUAACGAUAAUCACAUAAUACACUAUGAACAAUCAAUGAAAAAUAAAUAACGAAAUAAAUAAAUAAAUAAUAAUAAUAAUAAAAAUAAAUGGGCAAAUGACCGAAAGAAAAAAAAAAUAAAAAUUAAAGAAAUAAUAACAGCAACUAAAUGAAUAAAUUCAACUACACGAGGGACUAAGCUGAAAGCAAACUAAAAUUAACAGGUCAAAUUCUCAAAAAGGUAAAUAUAACAACUUGGACUGAUUUGAAAAUGACUCCGACAGUGGAAGGACUAGGGAGAUAAAUAACCCAAAAUUGAAAACACGCGGAUCCCCCAGGAGCGGGUCGGGUCGCACGCGGGUUAAGGCUAAACGACGUCGUUUUGGGGCGUUUCAAGCUAUUCCAAAACGGCGCCGUUUUGGGGCGUUUCAAGCCUGAAAUUUUUUUUUUUAAAAAUCAUUUUCUGCUAGAGUUUUUAAAAAAAAAAAAACUUAGAACCCUUUGUAUCUCUCACCCUCCCCACUUCUGGCAUGAGACUCCGGCAAUCGGCCACCGUCUAUCAGCUGGCCACUGGCGUAGCUUCGCUAUGAGCGGUGGUCGGGACCACGCCAAACCACCUUUUUUAACCCCCUUUUUUUAGAUCUGAAGGCGAAGCCUUCCUAAAACAAAAGAGAAGGAGCCUUGACCCCGUUGGUUCGAUUUCAACGCCGGAAAAGGGGCUGCCGACGACGAAACCGGAAGGUGGUUCAGGUGAACCUUUUCUUUUUUCUUUGUAUUUUUGUAUAUAAAAAAAUAAAUAGAAAUGAAUAAAUAGAAACCUAAGAAUAAGAUAAAACAGUAAUAAAAAAAAUGAAAAUCUCCUUUUGAAGUCUUUUUUUUUUUUUUCUUAUGUUCGUAAAGAAGGGAAGAACAUUACAAACAUCAGAUUAAGGCCUUUAUAGCCGAAAUACAAAAUUCGUUUUUUGUUUUCUUUUCUAUUGUUUGCUUGUGCUUCUUUGUUUUUUUCGUUGUCUUCUCUGCUUGCGUGUUGUUUGCUGUCUUGCAGGUGUCAGACGCGUGGAUGGCCGGUGAUAGGCGAGCCUCGAGCGGCGGCAGCGUGCGGCGCAGGUGGUUCUAACAUGCGGCGCUGGAGGCUUAGGGGGCUAGGGUUUUUUGUUGUGUUUAAGUGUUGGGCUGAUUGGGCUAGGGUUAGUUUUGGGUUAUUGGGUUUUAAUUUGUAUUUGGGCUGCUAAUUUGGGCUUGUUUUAUUUAUUUGGUUUGUUUUAUUUUAGAAUCUGGCCCAGGUCAAAAUUGGCCUAUUACAGUCAAUAUUUUGUAUCAAUCGAUUUGGGCCGGCGCGUACUAAUUAUUUACCGAAAUGGACUGAAAUACACUGAACUGGCCAAAGCACAUCGAAAUUUUAACUGGAACGGAACAUAGACUAAUUGAUACUGAUUUAGGACUGAAACGAUACGUGCCGAUUACCAUAUUGCAACUUUAUAUUCUUAGCUCAUAUAUUAUUGAAUUAUCAGCAAGAAAUCCACCUUUAGUAAUUAUUUAUUAUUUGUAAAAUAAAGAUAUGUAUUAGAAUAAACAUGCGAAUGAUGGAAAUUUUUAACCAAUAUUAUCAACCAACAACUCAUAAAUUAUAAUAUAAAACAGGAGUACAAAUAUUUGAUAUACACACCACAUAAAGAUAGCAUACAUGAUUUAUAUAUCUCGCAUUAAACAUGAGAGAUACAAUGCCACCAGGCUAUGCAUGCAACAUUUAUUGAUAGUACUUAAUUAUAGGAAAACAUAAACGCAUGCAUCCUUGAAGGAAACAUGAUUUUAUUUUACUCACACACGUGCUAUCACACCACACAAGCACACACACAAUGCAAUGAAAUUUUGUGUGUUCAUAGAUUACAUAGGAUCCGGCUUCUUUCUCGGCUUCAGCUUUGUUUCUUCAGUCUCAAAGUGAAUGCUGUAGUAAUUGGAACCAGUGUAAGUGGCACCUUGAACUGCAGUAGUGACAAUGGUCCCAUCAUAAAGAGUGUCGCUUUGCAUGAAAGUGAAGGGAACAUCGCACUUACCUUUGGUUGCAAUGAGGUUAACCGUCACCUUAGUCAUAGCAGGCACAACAAUUUUGUGUACAACGUCUACUAAAGUUUUCGAUUCUUUGGUCUCUUCCCACUUGACAUCUGAGUGAAAUUCACCGGACAUUUCAAUAUUUCCCUGAGAAAUCAAUGGUACGUUGAAUUCCAUUUUAGCUUCCAUUGCUAACUUGAGUGAAAAAUUACUCUUCCAAGUACUAGUCUUGAUAUUUGUAUAUGAAAGCUUUAUGUCCAUAUGGGUGGGUUCUUGGGUAUAGUUACUAGCAAAAUUCUUGGCAAUAAUGAAGGUUGUUUCGUCGUAAACCCUGGAAUUACCAAGAUCAUAUUUGACAUCAUAGAUAUCCCUUGUCAAGACUGGCUCUUCCACCGUUAGCUUGGCUUCUUUGGUGAUGGUUGGGACAGCUGGGCUAAGCCAUUCCACGUGGUCUUGUCCUGUGAGGGUCGUGCAGAAGUUUUUGUUGGCCAGGCUGAUAAGACCUAUAGUCUUAUCGUCAAUUUUGACAGGGCGAAACGUAGUGCCAUCAUUGUUGCUAGGGUCAUCAUAUCCUACCCAAAUCCAUUUCGGGUCGGCCCACCAAAACUUUCCAGCACAAAUGGAUUUGAUGUGAACCUUUCCAUCAUCAGUAACAAAAGUCUCGCAUGCCACAGUUGAGUCACCAAUGUCAUCUGCUGAAAAUGUUAUGUAAUUUUCACGAACACACAGGUACUUGUUAUUAUAUCCUUUGAAGGCAACGUACUUUGGCAAAACCAGUAACGACUUACAAUCAAUAAUGCUGAAGAUAUCAAAGCCAUUACUAUCAAACUCCCGGUAGUUUGCCGACACGCAGCGAUUAAGUAUCAGAUCACUCCCUAGCCAUAAGCAUAAAUUGCACCCUGAUUGGACAUGCACGAUUCGUACCGGACCAGUAGCAUGGUCUAUAGGGGCAAACUUGAACAACGUACAUGUCUCCUUGGAUUGAUCUUCCUCCUUGUUUUGGGCAGUGGCGGUAAUCCAGUACUGCCCCGGUGGGACUCCAGCGAUGGAAACGGUUUUGGUUCGUUGCCAAUACUUGUUGUUUUGGCAACUUCUUAUAUGCACCAAGCCACUUGUGUCGGAAAUCUCCACUUCGAACUUAGCAUAUGGACUCACGGCUUGAGUUUCAAAGAAUUUGAGAAACCCAAGGUUGUUUUCGCCUUCACGUACAUAGCUUAAGUAGCCAUUAUUGUCGCUGGGUUUGAGGACGAUAAACUUGGGCAAGGUCAAUGCCAUUUGAAUGGAUGAUUCUCUUUGUUGUGUUUAACUUUCACUCUUGUGUUUUGCUUACCACAAAGAGCUUGGCUACCUAUUUAUAUCUAUAAUAAAAGGUUAAUAUUGUCCACCACAUGGAAAUUUUGUUAUCUCGAAGGACGGAUGGAAAGUUUAACAGGACAAAAUUAGGUAGGUAUGAAACAAAAUGAAAGUGAGAAAACGUUUAUUUAAUGAUUUAUUUAAAGAAAUUAGGUGAUUUGUUGAUUGAUUUAAGAUUUUAUAAAUAGGGUGAAUUUUUUAAAAAUAAGAAUAUUUAAAUAACUAUUUUAAUUGUAGUUUUGAAAUGAUAUUUUAUAAAUACAAUUUAUAUUUUGGAAUUACAAUUAGACUCAAUGCGUACAAUGUAUAAACAAAAUUACAAUUAUACCAGCAGGGUAAAUUGAGUUAGGGCAGACUGCAGAGGUGUCUAUUAUAUUAGAAUGUGAAAAAUGAAAAUAGUUAUGAGGUUAUUGUAUUUGGAGGCCCCAAAAUUAGGUAGCACCCAUUUAAAACCCAAAAUAAAAUAAUUUUUAUUAUGCUUUUACAUAUUCUAUAAUUAAAUAAAAAAAACCCUAAGUCUAAUUUCAAUGUCAUUUUCUCACGAAUUCAUUGCUUAUUUAUUAUUAUUGUUAAAACUUUUAAGAAUUCAACUGUUCAUCUCUUUUUUGCUUCUUAUGUAUUGUUAAAAUUUUUAAAAUUUUAGUUAUCAUUAUUAACAUUUUCAAGUUGAGUGUUUUUUUUUCUGUCAUUACACAUUAAGAGUUAUAAAAUACAAAUAAUUUAAUAUUUGAUUAUGUCCAGUGAAGAUGGAGAGUGAUUAAAUCAAGGUUUAAUUAGAUUUUUAAUAAACAUUUAUAAUUAUAUAUGUCAAAUAAAUAUAUUAAUUGCAAUUUUAUGUAUAAUUAAAAAUAAUUUUAAAUUUGUCAAAUUGUGUUUUAACAAACAUAAAAAAUUUUAUUAUUUUUAGAAGAAUUUAAUUAAAUUAUAUGAUAUUAAUCUAAAAUAUGAAACUCGGUUGGAUUUAAGCCAAAAUUAGGUAGGUAUGGAACAAAAUGAAAGUGAGUAAAAGUUUAUUUAAUGAUUUAUUUAAAGUAAUUAGCCAUUACAGUGAUUUGUUGAUUGAUUUAAGAUUUUAUAAAUAGGGUGAAAAUUUUUAAAAUAAUUAUUUUAAUUGUGGUUUUGAAAUGAUUUUUUUAUAAGUACAAUUUGCAUUUUGGAAUUACAAUUAGACUUAAUUGUGUACAAUGUAGAAACAAAAUUACAAUUAUAGCAGCAGGAUAAAUUGAGUUGGUACAGAGGUGUCUAUUAUAAAAGAAUGUGAAAAAUGAAAAUUGUUAUCAGGUUGUUAUAGUAGAAGGCCCCAAAAUUAGGUAGCACACCAGACAAAAACAGCUAGUGAAGUGGUGUAAAAUAAAUACUAUUCUAUAUAUACACACACAUAGUUUUGUACUUGCUCACCUCUUGUCAAUUUCGCUGAUCUGACUAAAAUUAUCAUGCGAGUGGUGGACUUUACGAGCUAAGGUUGAGUAAAAAACUCGAUAAUAUUGAAAAUUUGAGUUAAAAUGAUAAUUUAAUUUAGUUCAAUUUUUUUAUAGUUUGGUUUGAUUUCGAUUAGUAGCGUUAUUUAACUAUAUUAUUUUGAUUUGAUUUCAGUUUAUUUUAUUGGAUAUCGAAAAGUCUAAAAAAAUAAUACUUUUUUGAAUAUAUAAGCUAUAUAUAUUAACCCAUUUAAAACCCAAAACAAAAUUCAUUGCUUCUAAAUUCUAAAAAUAGUCUUUUAUUAUACUUUUACAUAUUUUAUAAUUAAAUAAAAAAAAUCCUAAGUCUAAUUUCAAUGUCAUUCUCUCACAAAUUUAUUGCUUAUUAUGUAUUGUUAAAACUUUUAAAAUUUUGGCUAUCAUUUUUAACAUUUCCAAGUUGAGUUUUUUUUUUUUCUAUCAUUACAUAUUAAGAGUUAUAAAAUACAAAUAAUUUAACAUUUGAUUAUGUUCAGUGAAGAUGAAGAGUAAUUAAAUCAAUGUUUAAUUAGAUUUUUAAUAAACAUUUAUAAUUAUAUAUUUCAAAUAAAUAUAUUAAUUGCGUUUUAUGUAUAAUUGAAAAGAAUUUUAAAAUUGUCAAAUUGUGUUUAAGAAACAUAAAAAAUUUUGUUAUUUUUCAGAGGAAUUUAAUUAAAUAAUAUGAUAUUAAUCUAAAAUAUAGAACUUAGUUGGAUUUAAGCCAACUUGAUUCUUUAGCAUGAAAAUGGCAUUAGUUUAAAAUGAGCACAACACGAAUGGUGUUAAAUGCUCUUCUUGUUCAGCAGGUUUUAGAGGUACAUUAAGGAAUAUUAAAAAAUAAACAUUUUUAAAUAUUUUUCCUUUCCUUUUUGAAAUUUUUAGAAUUAGAGCUAAAUUAUCAUAUUAUGUAAAUGUUGAGAGCUAAAUUUAUUGAUUUUUUAGAAUUCAAACUAAAGUGACAAAUUUUGUAAACAUUGAGGGUUAAAUUUGUUGAAUUUUUUAGAUUUAGAAUCAAAACGAUAUAAUGUAUAAAUAUUGAAAGGCUAAAUUUGUUAUUAAGCCAAUAUAAACGAGCCCAUGUCAACUUUCUGUCACUCAUCUAAAGGCAACUAAUAGGGCAGUGGCAAAAAUAUUUAAUUUUGAAAAAUUAAGUGACUAAAUCAAAAAAAUUAAUAGUUGAGUGACCAAAUUAGAAGCAAAGGCAUAAUUGGAUGACUAUUUUUUAUAGUUUUUGAUAAUUUUUCAAUUGAAUUGGAAAUUGAUUGAUGGAUAACACCAACUCAUUUAAGGGGAAAGGAUUGUAUGAAACAGUGACACCACAUCAUCUGUAUCCUUUUACCAAUAAUUUAAUACCACAUCAGCAUUUUUAUCUUGAACAAAAAAAAUCAAAUCUAAAUGAAAAUCCUGAAAGUCAAGAUAAAAUUACUGAUGCGGCGUUAAACUAUUACAAAGUAAUAAUAUUCAUAUUCAUACAAUCCUUUCUCAUCAAUCAAGAUAUAAUGGAUUCUUAACAAAAUCUUUCAUUAGUUAAAUUAAUAAACAAAACUAAGGAAUUUAGGAUGAUGUGAAGAACUGGGUUUGCUUCUUAAAUAACAUGUCAUAGCCUUGAAUUUAACAUACCAAGUAUCCAAUUUGAACUACUAAUAAAAUUACUUGAUAUGAUAAUCUAAUGCAUUUAUUGCAGAUUUUAAUGUAUUUAUUGUAACUUCUUUGUUUUUAUUCUAAUAUAGCUUGGAAAGAGUAUUUUUCAAGUAUGGAAAGGUAUUAAUUUGUUUCUUGCUUUAGCAAAGUUCGAGAAUCCUUUGACAUCAAGCUUCUCUUUAUAUAAACUAACACAAACGGCAAAUCACAUAAGAAAAACCUAAAUCUAGCUUAUUUGAGUUCAAUUUUGGGUCCUUUUUUGCUUUAGAAAUCAAUGACCAUGAUUCAAGGUCUUGUUUUAAGUUUGAUUAAAGACGAAUUGGGUUUGUCGGCAGCAAUAGAAGAUCUCCGAGAAGAAAAUAAACAUCAGGUUAACAAUCACAAGGGAAAUCAAGUAGACCGUGGCGAUGAAACCGAUGAAGGUGUUGAUUCAAGUAAGGUUGAAACGUUACAAAUAAGUCCGAUAUACUAUACACUGAGAGACCUAAUGGAUUUACAAGAUGAAGAUAUCGAUGCGUUUUCUUUUCGAAGUGUCACCGUUGUCGACAAUGCCUCUUCCUCUAAAAUUGGCUACCUCCCUCCAACAAAUGAAGGUAUUGUCUCGUAAUUUUUUAUUUUUUAUUUUUUGCAAGCAAUUGGUAUCUCUUUUCGUUUACAUUAUUCUUAUCCUUAAAUUAUAUUUAAAAAUUUAAAAAAUUAGAAUAUGUAGCAAAAUUUGAACCUCGCUUGUGAAGUUAAAUUUCAACCAAAAUGUACCAAAUAAUUAUUUUUAUUUAUACCCGAUUUUCAUUUAUAUGUUUCUACAAAUUUGUUGAAUACAAAUGAGAAAAUUAAAAAGAAAAAAUUGUAAGGGUUCUAUUUGAUUAAGGAGGUAGUAAGGUUGAUAAUUUAGUUACUUUGUCACUUGAGCGGGCAGGUUGAUUUUGAAUUAGAUCAAUAUAGAUCUAAUUAAUUUGAGUUCUAAAAUUUUUGAGUCAUUUCAUAUUCGGGUUCGGGUUAUAUUAGAUUUGUAUCAUUCAAGUUUGUCAAUCGAAUUUUUAAGUUAAUUUAUCUCAAGUUACUUACUUGAAUCCUUUCUGGUUAUACUCAUUUUUUGAGCUAUUGAGUGUAAAUUCGAAUUAAUCUGGUCUCAUUUUUGUAUUGGGCUCAAAGUUCAAUUUGUGUAACCAUAUAUUCCAUGCUCGAAUUUUUUUUCUCAGCAAAACCAGAAGUAGAAGUGAGCCUUAAUUUGGAGAAGCAAGACACUGAACUAGAGGCAUGCCUUUUAUUAAGCUUACCAGAACCAUCAUUCAGGACAUGGAUGGAACCAAGUGGUGAAACAGACACCACCAUAACUCCUGGUCCUUCAGACAACAAGACCACAAGACAUGAACCUGGCUCGAAAUCGAAAUGGAAAAAUAAGAUCAAAGAUGCCAUUGCUAAGGUAACAAAUUCAUGGAGUCCCAAGAAACAACUGCAAGCAGCUCCAAAUAUUGAUGUCGUUUUAUACGAAAUAGAUGCCAAAGGGGUACUGAAAAUGAGAUGGGAAGACGAGAAAAAAUGGCAUGCAAAACCAAAAAGAAGGCCAACAUCAUGCAUGUGCUGCCCUAAAAUAUCAAGGAUUAGGGAUUUCGUGUUAGAAGAACAUGUUUAAAAGUUAAGAAAUUUAGAACUAGAAGGAAAUAUUUUGCUGGGAUUGGUUUUUGUUGGAAUGAGAUGCAAGCUGCAACAAAGGGAAUUUAAUAGUUUUGUUCUUAAUUUUGGGUUAUUGCUAGUAGUAGUAAAAUGUGUAUGCCUAGUAGUUGUUGAGUUAAUUUUGUAGUGUAGUGUUUGUAAUGAUUAAAUGCACUAAAAUUGAUUUAUUUAAUAGUAGAGGAACUAAUUUAAUUAAAUCUUUUUUUUCAUUCAAACUUGUUAAAUAAACUUUCGAUAAAAUAACUCGAUUCAUGAACAAAAUGUGAGAAGUAAGGACAAAUAGUGGCAUGGGCUUACAUAAUAAGAAAUAUGACAAAUAUUCCACCAUAUGAUGGGCUUAUUAGGAAAAAGUGAUUUGGGGCAAGUACAUGGAAUUAUGAAUUACCAGCUUGCUAAUUGGACUCUUCAUUCUUGUCCAAGAGUCCACUAUCUUUAAUCAUUUCCCACAAGAAAAGGAAAUUUUAAAUUGAAGGACAAAAAUCAAUCCAUCAUCUAUUUAUCCUGGCAAGGGCAAAAUGUUUGGAUCACCCACUUUUUUUUUAAGGGAAAUUGGCAAGGUUGUCAAAUUUUAAUUUUAAUUUUAAUUUUAAUUUUUUAAGAGAUUAAAGUGUAAUUUUGUUAUUAUAUUAAUUUAUUAUUUUACAAAAUCUUAAAGGAUUAAAUAAUAAUUUGCCAUUUGAGGGAUAAUGGCCUCGGCCCCCAAAAUGGUAUAAUUGCUUGAACAUCUUUUUUAAAAAUGGUAAGAUUAUAACUUAAAUGUAACCUCCUAACAUUUAUAUUUUACUCUUAAUUUACUUUAAAAAAUUUCUAAUUUUGCCUCAAAUUUAUCCCAUACAUACAUACAUAACACGAGGGAUGGCAUUAAAGGGGCAGACAAUGAUCUUAACCCCCUAAGAAAAAGAUUUCUAUAUUACCUCUUAACUUUGUUUAAUAUUACAAUUUAGUAUAAAAAUAAAUUUACAUUUUGAGUCUCAAAAUUUUUAUUUUUAUUUCUGACUCCAAAAAAGACUUUCAAUUUCUUCCCAUACGAACCCAGACAGACUCAAUAAUGCAACUUCAUAUUAUCUUCUCUCAUUGUUGCAAGCUGGUAAGCAAAACCCACCCUUUUCUUUAAUUCUUUAGUUAUUCCAUUAUUCCCAGCCACCCAAACUCGUUCAAAAGCUAUAUUCCCCUUUUUCUAAAUUAAAAAAAAAAGUAAUUUAACAAUAAAAAUAAUUAUAAAUAUCAAAAUUCAAAUUCAAAUUUAUUAAAUGGUAUAUUUUAAAAAUAAUUGUCGAUCGAGUUUAAACUCGAUUGGCCAGGACAUCACUGCCAAUACAAGAAGACGUGAACUCGAGUACAUUGAAGCGCAUUAUCCUCUUAUUUAUGAAUUAGGGAGGGGUUAAGUAUAAUUCUAAACAUUAAAGAAAACAUAUAUGAUUAAAACCCAUAAAAAAACGAAAUUAAACCCAAUAUCAAAACAUUCCAAGCCCUCUCAAAUGGCUAUCUAUCCCAUCAUUCGAGCUGUAGAAAAUUAUAAUGGUACUUUUGUCCAGGACCUAAAAUAAAUAAUGUUAUAACUCGUACAAAAUUGUUGAGGAAGGAUGCUGUCACUUUAGAGACAUACACACAUUAUAAUAUUGUUAUUUGGCUGCUAUAUAACUAAAGUAUGGCCACUUUUUUUAUGUCAUUGCAGGGACCUUUGGCUUUUGCCCAUCAUCUCCUUUUCUUUUAGCUUAUUUGUAUGAUUGGAUUCUUCAGUACUUGAGGCUUAAUAGUUAAUUAUUUAACUGUGCCAUCUGCAUUAUUUAAUCUUAUUUCAUAAUGAGUGGAACCUUAAUGUUUGAUUUUGGUAUACCAGUUUUUAUUUUUAUCAGAAUUUAGUUUACAGAUGGAUGUAGAAUUAUUUAUGAGUCGGAUCAUUUAUUUAGUUUUAUAAUUUAAAAUUUUAACCUUUGUAAACAAUACCAAAAUGAAUGUUUGCAAAUUUUAUUGUAUGUGCAGGGACCAUAUUUUGGCCUGAAAACCAGGGAUUAGGAAAUUGCCUGGCUAUAUGAACCAUGGGAUGGUUCCAGCUUCCAAGUCUCAAACCUACAGCUUGCAACUGGAAAAUCUAUACACAACCAAUGGAAACCUAAGAUGGUUCCUAAUAAGGAAAAAGCAAAUUUUGAAAAUAAAAUGAAGUAGAGUAUACAAUAAGCAACAUAUAAUUUGUCAAAAUUUUGAAAAUAUAAAUGGUUUUUAGGAGGGUUUAUUGUAUAAAAGCUUUAGUAAUUCAUUUCAUUUAUUUUCAAAUAAGGCUUAAUAUCAGAUAUUGUUUUAGUUUCAUAUAUUAAUAAAUCAAACUAUGUUUUAUAUAUAUAUAAGGGUAAACUGCAUUGGUAGUCACUCAACUAUUAAAAAGUUUCUUUUUUGUCACUUAACUAUGAAAAAUUAUAAAUCUGUCACCUAAUCAUUUGACUUUUUCUUUUCUGGUCACUAGACGUUGUAAAAAUAACAUGACAACUUUUAAAAUUGGCAUAACAAUAAAUUUAGUUCUCAACAUUCACACAUUACCUAAUUUAGUCCUCAAGCAUGAAUCUUAUAAAACCGGUGAAGAGUGAACCGAUGAAGACAAAAUCAUGUUAACCAGUAGUUUCCCAUAAUCGAAGUAUCAAGAGAAAAGAAUUAAAAAAAGUGAAUUAUGAUCUUGGGUUUUUGGGUGUUUCUAUUUUUUGUAUUUUUUUAUCAAAUUUAGCUGAUGAAUUUAUUUUUUAAAGUUUUUUUAUGUGAAAUGGUCUCAAAGAAAACAAAACUAUAAAAAAGACCAAAUUACACAAUAUGUAAACAUUGAUUAUUAAUUUAAGGGUUAAAGUUGCUAUUAUACUAAUUUUAAAAAUUAACAUGUCAUUUUUCCGUCAGUCAUUUAAUGUCUAAUGACCAAAAAAGGGAAAAAAAUUAAAUAGUUAGGAUAACUAUUUUGUAACUUUUCGUAAUUAAAUAAGAAAAAAAUUUACUGAUAAUUAAGUGACCACCAAUAUAAUUUACCUUAUAAAAAAAUAAUAAUAAAAAGCCUAAAUAUCAAAUAUAAAUUCUAUCUUGAACUGGCAUUUUGACCCAAUGAUUCAAGUCUACAACUAAAAGAGCUGUUUACCCUUUGUCCUAGGUAAGGUGUCCCACACACCUAAGCCAAUAACAAAAAGUAAUUUACCAUUACUCAAGGUAAUGUGUAUAUAUAUAUAAAGAAGCUGACAUGAAUGUUAACAAUUCAAUCAAUUUUUUUUUCAUAAAAAUAAUAAUUUGAACACAAUUUAAAAAAUAAAAAAUAUUAAAAUUAAAUUUAUCUUUUUUAAACAAUCUUAUUAUAGGUUUUGGUUAUAUCUACUUUUUUGACAUAAUAUCUAGAAUUAUUCAUAGUCUUUCUCUAAUCUAUUAAUACGAGAAUAAUAUACUUCAGUGUACUCAAACUCACAUUCUCUUACAUUUUUCAUACAAAAAAUAAAAUUCAAACCUAAAAUCUAAACUAUAAAUUUUCAGAACAUCCAAACCACAAAUUUUAAAUUCUAACCGUUAUAUAUAUGAUUUCAUUGAAGACAUACAACUAGCAAAGUAAGAAUUGUACAAAAAUUUGAAUACCCUAGAAUUGAUUUCUUGUGAGUGUUGGUGAAGGAACUCAAAUUCCAAGAAUAUGUCAUGGCAAAAAAUUCCCCUUUAAAAGGGGCAUAUCAAUGAUGAUGUUUUUGUUGCCAUUUCAUAAUCCAAAAGGAACCCCACCCCCCCCCCCAAAGAAAAAAUAAUAAUAAAGCAUAGGAAUCAAUCACGCGUCUAAUGUGACAGUCCAAUUACAAUUGGGGGGAAUCUUUAAAGAAAUUGCAAUCAUAAAAUUUUAAAAAAAGGUCCCCCAACUUUCACACUCACCACCGCCGAGCUACCUUCUUUCUUGAUGUUGGGUUGGUGAAUUACAUAUAUUCAACCAUUUCCCCAUUUCUUUAGUACUAUCAACCAACAACAUUCAUGAGAAAACGUUAGCAUUUGUCAAGUCAUGGCAUUUUAUGAAAGAGAAUGGAAGAGUGUUUCAAUUCGGUGUCAAAAUAAUAUAAAGUAUAAUAAAGGGGAGGAAGUUAAGAUUGAAUCGUAAAUUUUUUAAGAGUAAUUGAUUAAAAAUUUCACACUUUUGGAGGAUUAAAAGAACAAUCUUACCGAAUUAAGGGAGGCCAAAGUCCGUCAUUAACUUCUUUCCAAAAGACAUGACUGAUAAGAUUGCAGCAUAAUCGUUUAUCUAUCUCAGGACCUUCCUUUUUUUGUAAUAUGGGAUUUCUACGCGUUACUUAUUUCUUUAGAACAUUUGGCAUGACACUUGCGUGCUUGCCUAAGUAUGAGCAUAAGUAGUUGUGAUAAGCCAUGUCAAGCAUUCUAAUUAAAUAGAUAAAUCAACUAAUCAUAGCGAAGUAUGGCGAGUGUUGAAGUAAAUGAUGAAGUAAAGAAUUUGUUGGGUUUAACUUAAAUUAUUAAUUUUUAAAAUAAAAGUGAAAAUGUAUGAAAUACUUUGCAUCCAUAUUCCCUAAUUGUUUUGAGAUUUAAAUAGUGUAGAAGAAGAGUAAGGUAAUUCAAUCCUACAUUGAAAAAUGAAAGUAUGGAUCUUUAAUUAAUUGCUCCUAUAAAUUAGAUAAUGAUAACAAGGCACAAGCACACAUACCUCUUCCAUGCAUUUCUUGCAACCACUAAAUAUUCGCAAGCAUACAUACCUUUUGGAAUUGUUUAAAUUUUGAUGUAAGCCCUUGUACUAUUUUGUCGAUUUAUUUUAAUUUAGUCAUUUUUUAUCCAUGUACUUUGUGAAUUUUAACAUUUCAAUCUAACCAAAUGAUAACUGUUACAUUCAUUAAGUUUUAUUAAUUUCCAAACUUGAUGUGGCAAACAUAUUUUCAAAUGUGCGACAGCUUACUAUCUCUACAUUUUAUUAAAAAAAAAAGUCAGAUAAUGGAUUUAAAGAUAGUUGUUUGCAUUAAGAUUGAAAUUUCAAAAUUCGAAAUGUAGAGGGACUAAGAAUGCUCCAAUUGGAGAAAAUUGACUAAAUUUACAACGUUAUGCAUAGUACAUGACUAAUAGUAGAAUUUAUCCAAACGAGUUUGGUUGUUACUAUUUGGUCUAGACUAAAAUUGACCAAUUCGUAAAGUACAAAAACCAAGGGCAAAGCCAAAAAAAAUUUUAGGGGAGCGGAAUUGAAUUAUAAAAUUUUUAAAAGAAUGUAAUUUUACCAUGUAAUUUUUUAAGGGACUAAAUAGAAUUUUUUAAGGGACUAAAUAGAAUUUUUUUCAUUUUUAGGAGGCCAAAAUGUAAUUUUAUCAUAUAUUAAUUUACAAUUUUAUUAUUUUUAGAGGGACUGAACUAAACAUUUGCAUUUUUAGGAGGGCCAAUCCCCUGUCAAUCUCCUAGCUUUUCUUCUAACAAAAACUAAAAAUAAUCAAAUUAAAGUAUACAAAGCCGGAAUUAAAACGAAUAUAUCAAAAAAAUUCUAAUUUAAAUAUAAUAUAUAUUGAUUUACUUUUUUUAAUGCAAUAUUAGUUGUGAUUUUAUGCAAAAUUUCAAAUACGUUGCAUGCAUGUAUCUUUUAUAACAAAAAUAAUAAUAAUUUUUAUUUAAGUCCCCUAAUAUUUAAACAAAUGGUCCCCCAAGGGAUAGAGAUUAUCUCAAUUUCACAUUUGAAAGAGCUAUAAAUAAUGAGACAAGUAGGAACCCAACUAUAUACAUGAGCUGUUCAAAGCUAUUGCUUUUGGUUUCAUUUAAUUUUGAAUCCUAACCUUCAAAUCAAUAUCAUUCAUUUGCCUAAUUUAUUUCAUUUACUUUUCUUCCUACAUUGUAGACAUUUAGUUUUAAUAUACCUAUCAACUUACAUAAAUUAUUCGGUUUCGAUUCGAUUGAUUCAAUUUAUCGACAAUUUCUUAAUUAAUAAUACAAUUAAUUAAAUUUGAAACUCUAUUCAAGUGAUUAAUUUACUCGUGUAUUAUUACCAAAUUAAUAUAUAUAGAUAAUAAAUAAAUUUAAAUAAACAAAUUUUUAUUCUGAAUCAUUAAUAAAAUAUAUUAUAAAUAAAUUUAGAAGUACAUUUUUCAUUUUCUAUUGGCUCAGUUAUAUUGCUUCUUUAAAGAAAUGGAAAGCACCUACCUACAUAAUGAUUUGAUCGUACCUUCUUUGAGAUUUUAACCCUAUAAAAUAUUGAGAUUGUCUCCUUUGAGUUUAUAUUUUAAGAAUUUUAUACCACAUUAUUUGUGUGCAUAUAUAUAGAUUUGUUCUUGAUAUUUUUGGGACCUUAAGUAAAACAAUAAAUUGGAACUCCUUUUAAAAAAUUUAUAAAAUUUAAUACAAUAAAAUAAAAAGAUUGGGCCCUUUUUUUUCUAUGUACAAUGAAGCGUCGAUCAGAAAACAUAAAAGGCUAAAGAUUUUUUUCGACAUUAAAAGCUAAAGAAAAUUUUUUUUGGCCCCUACCAGCCCUGAGCCCUGGGUGGCCGCACUAUCAAACUACCCCAGGGUCGGGCCUACAUAUAUAUAACAAUGCCUCUAGCUUACAUGCAAAAGCACAUUCAUGAAUUUUUUUUUAGAGGGUCAGAUUUAAAUUAUAAAUCUUUAAAAAGAACUCAAAUGGAAUUUUAUCAUUUAAAAUGUUAUUAUUCUUUGAUGGAUUAAAUUAUAAAUUUUCAUUUUUGAACGGAUCAAAUUUUAAAUUUAAAUUUUAAAGAGGUCAAAAUAUAAUUUUACCAUUAGAUUAACUUAAACUUUUACACAUUUUAAAGGAACUAAAUUAAAUUUUUUCUAUUUUGAGGGUCAUGGCUAGCAUACCCCACAAGCACCACCCCAUGUAUUUCUAGAUUUAUCCAAGUUUUUUUUUAAAAAAAAGAUAAACUAUAUCCGAGGUCAUUAAAUUAUUAGUUAAUUUACGUUUUGAUCUUUGAAUUUUAAAAAAGUUAUAUAAAUACAUUUUGACUUUUGGAUUGUUAAUUUUUUUAAAAGAAGAAGUCUGGCUAGUGUUGUUUUCAAUUGAGGGCUCAAUUGAUUAUUGAAUUAUUUUCAAGGGGCUUUUUUAUAUAAUAAACCUAAUAAAAAAAAGGUUACAUAUUUAUAUAACCAAGGGAUUUACUUUAAUUGGCCAUUAUCCAUGGUGGAGAAUAAUUGGAAGGAUAUAAUAAUACAUCAUUUGGUGCUAAUGUGAAUAUAAUUAUGUAACACUAAUUGCAUCCAGCAAUAUAGCAUUUUAGAUAGGUAAUUGGUUUAUAUAAUUUUAGCUAUCAUCAAUUAUGGUCAAUCAUUGCUAUAUAAAUACGUUAUUAUUUUAAUCAUGGUUUUUAUAUGUGAUGUUAAACUCUAUAUAUAAUGAGAGAUAAUCUUUUUAUGGAUCAUGUUAUUGGUCGGUUUGUGGGUUUAAUCGAUCCGAUCAGUUAAUUAAUUUAUUAAUUUAUUUAUCCAAAAGGCUUAAUUAUUCAUUCGAUUUAAUUAAAUAGUUUAUUAAAAAUUAAAAACUCGAUUUAACCGAUUUUAUCUUAAUUUAAUCAAUUUGUACCAAUAUUUGGAUCAACAGUUUGAUACCCUUCCCCAAACCAGUUCAAACAACCUUGCUCUAAAGUAUAAAUAUCUAUAGAUUGGGUUCAUGUCAAGUUUAUGUAUCACAUCAACACCAUAUAUAAUUGUGCAAGUUUUGAUUUGAAAUAUAGGUAUAAGAUUAUUAUAAAUUAUUUUUAUUUAAUAUUUACUAUUUUAUAUACUUUUUAUUAAACUUUCAUAAAGAACUUAAAUAUUUUUAAUAUUAUAAUUUAAUUUCCAUAUAAUAUAAAAUAUGAUAUAUAUUGAAAAAUGGGUCAACUAGAGCCUAAUUGUCAAGUUUAGAAUCUAAGCUUAAUCCAUUUUUUAAAUAAAACAAUUUUUUAUCCGAGUCUAGUUUUCAAGUCUAAUAAAGGAAAACUCUCUCAAAUAUUAGUUCUAGAAGAAUUAAAAAUCAAAGCUUAGUUGUGAAUUUUAGAACACAAUCUAGAUUUAUAUUUUAAACUAGCUUAAUUUUUAUGUUUAAGUCUAAUAUUUUUUAAAAUUCUCAAAAAUAUUGAACAAGCCUUCAAGCUUAAACAAUAGUCUUAGACAGAAAUAAACAUAAUCAAAUCGAAAACAAAAGAGAAUAAAUUUUAUAUAAAUACAAAUUUUGUAGUAUAAAAAUAAAUAAAAAUUAUUUAAGGGUUAUUAAGGGUCUCUUUGGACGGGUGUUUAUUUCUAAUACAGUGUAUUUAAUUUUUUAUUUCACAAUAAAAUAUCGUUAUAAUAUCUAAUCUCAACACUAUAGCUAUUUUUACAUUAGCUAUAACCAUAAGUAAAUAUACUACUCAUCUAAAAGGCAAUAGCUGCAUGAUGAUGAUGACACAAAGGUUUUCUAGUAAUAGCAACGAUUUCUCUUACUUUUCCAAAACAGGUCACUGAAUAUCUGGUCCUUCAUUUAUUUUCUUUUUCUGACCUUUUCCCAAGUAAAAUAAGUAGAUAAAGUAUUGCAUAUUACCCCAUAAAGAUUAUGUUACCAACUGUGAAUGUGUGUGCAUAGUGAAAUCGAAACCAUGCGUGAUUUCACACCUCAUCUAAAUUGGUUCCAUUAUCAUGGGGUCAAAGCUAUUGUCAUAGGGUUCAGAAAAAAUGUGAGCUUAGGAUCUUAGCCUCUUUGGUUUUAUGCACUUAUUUUUAAGUGAUGGGUUUCAAAUAAAUUUGUACUCAAAUCUGGGCAUUUGCCACCGAUUAAUUCAAACUUUCUUUUUAUCAAAAAUGGGUUUAAGAGAGAUAUGUUUAGGGUAAAUUGUAUAGUUAGUCAUCUAAGUAUUAACGGAUUUCUAUUUUGGUCAAUAUCAAAUUAUAUAUUUUUUUAUUUUCAGUCAUCAACGUUAUCAUUUGUUUAUAUUUUAGUCACUCUCUGUUGAAUCAUUAAUGGAAAUGAUGGUAUUAAUUGCUAUAAUUACACAUUUAUUCCUAAACAUUUAUACAUUCUAUCAAUCACGGGCGAAGUCAGGAAAUUUUUUGGAGGGUAAAAUUAAAUUGUAUGUUUUUAUGAUACUUAAAAUACAAUUUCUACAUUUUAAUAGCUUAUAUGUUUAUAAUUUUUUAAAGGACUAAAUCAAAAUUUUAUUAUUUUAGUGGGUGAAGUGCAAUUUGACCUAUACUAACUUAAAAUUUUAUAAAGUGUAAAGAGUCAAAAAUAAAAAUUUUCUACUUUAGGAGGACCAAAGCUCCUACCAGCUCCCACCAUCAUCCCUACUAUCAAUUUAAUUCUCAUUUUAAAAAAAUAAAUAAAUUUAGCUCUUUAUAUUUCUAAAUUUCUAUCAAUUUGUAACAUGGGAAAGCAAAAAUUGCAUAAUAAUUAUUCUGACAUUCCACAAGGAUGAGGUAGAUGAUGACAAGUCAUCUUGUGAAAUUAGGGCAUUGAUGUUAGUCAUCCCUACUUGUUGCAUUUCCAUGUUACAAAUUAAAGAAAUUUAUAAAUAUAAAGGAUUAAAUUUAUUAAAAUAUUUAAAAUUAAGAUUAAAUUGAUAGAAUAUAUAAAUAUUGAGGAUUAAAUAUGAAUUAUACUAAAUUAAAAAUUAGGUAAAAUUCAUAUACACACAAUGGUACAUAGCUUCCACAAUUUCAAGACAUCCCUUCACAUGAUCAUCACAUUUUCCUUUAUAAAAAUAAAUAAAUAAUAGCUGUAAAAAUUUGAAAAAUAAUAAAUAAAAAAAUAAAAUUCCAUCUUUCUUUUUCGUGUGCAAAGGAGCGAUAAGAGUCACGCAAAGCCUGCGAAUGUACCCAAGGUAUUUUUCUUUUGCAGUUUGCAUUAUAAUUUCAAAACUCAAAAUUGUGUUCAUUUUGGUCCUUGAUCUAUUUUCUACCCAUCAAUUAUCACUAAUUUCACACAAUAACUGUUUAAUAAAUAUAAAAUGAUAUAAUGUAGUGUUCUAGCUUAAUUACUUUUUCAAAACACUUGGUGUCACUUUCAAUUUUUCAACCAUCUAGACAACAACAUUUAUCUUAAAUAUUAAAAAAAAAUCAAAAUCCACGAAUCUAGACAUUAAUUCUCGAUUCAACCGAUACGAUUACCGGACUCAUUGCCUUGGUGUUUUGUUUUUAUUCAACCGUGCUUCAAAAUUUGACAAUUUUCUUGACACAAGGUCAAAAAAUUGUCCUAAUGAUGGGAUUUUAUAAUCUAAUUUGAGUAAAGAUUUUGUUUUGAGGUUUUAAAAUAAGGGGAAAUUUACCUAAGAGUUUGAAAUGUGAUACAUAUAAAACCAAAAAACCAUAUCCAACGGUCAAAGAGACAGUGAUACAACAAAACCCUAGUGUUCUCGUGACUCUCUUAAUUUUUUUUUUUUAAGAUUAUUCCCAUUUUGAAAAGGUAGAAAAAAAACACACACAUUAAAACCAUUGAACAUGUCUCAAUCAAACAUGAUAGUAAUACCAUUAACAUGUCUAAAUCAAGCAUGAUAAUCCUAGAGGGAUUAUUAUUGGUGAAGUUUUUUUUUUCUUUUGUAGAUUGACGUCAAAGUUAUCUCUAAAAUUAGGUAUAUAAAACAAUAUGAAUUAUAUUAAAUGUUAUUAUUAGUUGGAAUAGUUAAUACCGGAAUUUUGGUUUAAAUGGCGGGAUUUUUUUAAUAAAAACAUUUCUUCCGACUCAAAAAUAACAUAAAAUCACGUCAAUAUGAUAAGUUGAAAGUGGUAUUUCUAGGAAAAAUUCAUGCCAACAUUAAGGGACGAAGUCAAAAUUUUAUUUUAGGAGGGGUCGAAAUUAAAUUGUAAUUUUUACAAUAGUAAAAGUGUAAUAUCACCAUUUUAAUAGCCUAUAUCUUUAUAGUUUUUAAAGGAUUAAAUAAUUUUUUUAUUAUUUUUAAAGGGCCUAAAUAGAAAAUUUUUCAUUUUAGGGGGGUCGGGUCCCUGCCAAUCCCCUAACUAUGCCCCUGUCAACACUUUAAUUAGAACAAUUAACGGUGUUAAUUAACUAUUUGGAUUAACUAAUUAUUUUAUAGAAGUAGAUUUCCAAAUCAAUAUUUUCAGGUUGAAUCGAUAAUUAAUGGUUCAACCAGUUCGAUCAGUUAAUAUAUAAUACAGAAUAAAGAGAACCAUUGUGAUUUAAUUAAAAUCGAAACUGGCUUUGGGUGAUUUUGUUCCAUAUUUAUUGCCCAAAUGUUAGAAUUUGUAUUUAUAAAUUUCUCUAGAAUUUUUUGAAUUUUUUAAUCAUUAUUUAACAUAUUGAAUUAGGAACCAAUUGUUUAACCAUAAUCUAAUUCUUAUAACAUUAAACUAAUUUAUACUAAAUUAAAGUAUAUGAACUGAACUGCAAAUUUAAGCAUAGUAGAGGGACCAGAAUAAAAAUGUGUUAAAGAAGAAUUUCCAGGCAAUAGACAAUGACUCGGAUACCAUUUUGAACACAUGGCAAACGUUGAAUGGCUAGAAAAUACAUAUAAUUAGUGGUCCAUCAUGGCUUAAACUAAAGACACUUAUUCCCCAUCCAUGAUCCUAGUUGUCAUCCACCCACCUAUUUUUAAGCAAAUCAUAGUGAAGGGACCCCCAUCCUUCUACCUCAUUUCCAUGGGAAACAAAAUCAUUCUACAUACUUUUUCUCACAUAAAACCAAAUCAAAACCCCUUCCUUUUUUUCCUCAUUUAUUAUUCUUUGGGUUAAUAUAAAUUUUAGUCCCUAAACUCGACAAUUAAGUCAAUUUUGAUACUUAUAUUUUUUUGGUCCAUGUUAAAAUCUAAACUUAAGAACUAGGUCCAUUUUGGUCUUUGAACUCGGAUUCCAUCAUAAUUUGAUGACAUGGCACUCCAAUAUUGUGCCACAUCAUCACCUAAAAUUUAAUAAAUAAUUUUUAGGUGAUGACAUGACACAAUCUCGAAAUGCCACAUCAUCGAACUUUUACUUUUUGCUAAGUUCAAGUGCCAAAAAUGGCAUGGUUACCUUAACUGGACCUAACUGGUCGGUUGAGCCGGUUGGACUAAGAACUAGUUGGGGUACUAAUCCGAAGAAAUCCUUUUAACCAAUUAAUUUGGGAAUCGAUACGGAUCGGUUGAAUCAAGUGAUUGAACCAAAAUUUUUUAUUUUUAAUGUUUUUGUAUGAAUUUUUUAAUGAUUAUUUAAUCGAACUGGAUAGAUCGAUCGAACUAGUCAAACCGAUGGCCUAACCAGUUCGACCACUAGUCCAAUUUUGAAAGUAUUGCAAAAUGGACCUAGUUGUUAAGUUUAGUUACCAAAGUGGAUAACAAAAAAGUACAUGUGCCAAAAUGAACUUAAUUGGCAAGUUUAGGGACUAAAAGUUAUAUUAAUCCAUUUCUUUAUUUAUAUAGUUUAGUUCCCUUUUUUUGCUAAAACCCAAGAAAAGUUUUCAAAUUCACCCUUCCCCGGAGGCACAAAACAAAAGCUUCCAAACAUCCAGCUUUCAUUGUAUUUUGCUAAGCUGUCACCAGCUUUCCUAUUAGGCUCUCUCCCUCAGUUAUUGCCUCACGCGUUACCCCCACCUCUCCAUACCAUCAAACCCCCACCCCCCUUCUUUCAUUUCCCUAUAUAAAUACACCCUCUCUUUGAAAAAUAUCCACAAAACCCCUCUCUUCUUCUCUCUUUUUCUCAUUCAUUCUUUAGUUUCAAUAUCAAAGCAAAAAUGGGUUCUUCUUGUAAUGUUGUUUCAAUGGCCUUACUGGCUUGUUUGGUGUUGAACUCCUUGGUUUUUGUUGCCCACGGUGGUGACUUUUACCAGGAUUUCGACCUAACAUGGGGUGACAGAAGAGGCAAGAUUUUCAAUGGUGGCAAGCUCUUGUCUUUGUCUUUAGACAGGGUUUCAGGGUCUGGUUUUCAAUCUA